rnacentral:rRNA from 1 species
AUUCCUACGGGAGGCAGCAGUGGGGAAUAUUGGGCAAUGGGCGCAAGCCUGGCCCAGCAACGCCGCGUGAAGGAAGAAGGCUUUCGGGUUGUAAACUUCUUUUCUCAGGGACGAAGCAAGUGACGGUACCUGAGGAAUAAGCCACGGCUAACUACGUGCCAGCAGCCGCGGUAAUACGUAGGUGGCAAGCGUUAUCCGGAUUUACUGGGUGUAAAGGGCGUGUAGGCGGGGACGCAAGUCAGAUGUGAAAACCACGGGCUCAACCUGUGGCCCGCUUUUGAAACUGCGGUUCUUGGG